AGCUUUGUGCUGAGGCAGUGUGGUACCUUGUGAAGUGCGAAUUGAGGGGCGACCAUGGCUAGUUGAAAACUUAUACCAAUACCCCGCCUGGACGACGGGAAAUGCCGUCAGCUGGGGCAGUUAUUAAGUGGCCUAAAUAAGC